UGUGUGUUAGUGGAAGCGUCUGGAAAGGCGCGCGAUACAGGGUGACAGCCCCGUACACAAAAAUGCACAUGCUGUGAGCUCGAUGAGUAGGGCGGGACACGUGGUAUCCUGUCUGAAUAUGGGGGGACCAUCCUCCAAGGCUAAAUACUCCUGACUGACCGAUAGUGAACCAGUACCGUGAGGGAAAGGCGAAAAGAACCCCGGCGAGGGGAGUGAAAAAGAACCUGAAACCGUGUACGUACAAGCAGUGGGAGCACAGAGCAAUCUGUGUGACUGCGUACCUUUUGUAUAAUGGGUCAGCGACUUAUAUUCUGUAGCAAGGUUAACCGAAUAGGGGAGCCGAAGGGAAACCGAGUCUUAACUGGGCGUUAAGUUGCAGGGUAUAGACCCGAAACCCGGUGAUCUAGCCAUGGGCAGGUUGAAGGUUGGGUAACACUAACUGGAGGACCGAACCGACUAAUGUUGAAAAAUUAGCGGAUGACUUGUGGCUGGGGGUGAAAGGCCAAUCAAACCGGGAGAUAGCUGGUUCUCCCCGAAAGCUAUUUAGGUAGCGCCUCGUGAAUUCAUCUCCGGGGGUAGAGCACUGUUUCGGCAAGGGGGUCAUCCCGACUUACCAACCCGAUGCAAACUGCGAAUACCGGAGAAUGUUAUCACGGGAGACACACGGCGGGUGCUAACGUCCGUCGUGAAGAGGGAAACAACCCAGACCGCCAGCUAAGGUCCCAAAGUCAUGGUUAAGUGGGAAACGAUGUGGGAAGGCCCAGACAGCCAGGAUGUUGGCUUAGAAGCAGCCAUCAUUUAAAGAAAGCGUAAUAGCUCACUGGUCGAGUCGGCCUGCGCGGAAGAUGUAACGGGGCUAAACCAUG
rnacentral:rRNA from 1 species